CCUGUGACAUUACCAUUACACCACCCACCUCCCUAAUCUCUAUCUGAAGAUGUUAGGACAGUAUCGUAUUGCAAGCUCCCUGUUCUUCACAACUUCUCAAUGAUGUUCUUCAAAAUUGUGGGAAAUAUCUGCUGUUGUGCAACAAAUUAUCAAAUAAAUGGUGCCAGAUCUGAUGAGCUUUUUCAGGAACCCCUGUUUUUACACCUUAUGGAAGUAAUGGUUCAAUCUGUUAUGUAUCCAUGGGCUGCAAGAGAGAAAGGUGUUUCCCCUGUCUAGAGCUCUCAAAGCUACACUACAACAUUGAAGACUGUGAGUUCCUGGGACACAGUGCCAAAGCAAGGAUUUCCACCACAUUGCCACUGCUGAAGCCGCUGUAUCGCCGCCAUUGCCAGAAUGGACAGAGUGGGCCCAUCGGGUGCUGAUGCCGCUGCCAUCGCCCAAACCAUCGCCACUUCAGUCGCUGGCCGGAGGUUGCCGCAUUGCCGCCAUAGCCACACGGAAUGAACCAGAACCACUGCGCUGCCAUUGUUACAGUCACUUGGGGUCAUGGUUGAAAACUAGGGGCUUGCCCAUUUAAGACAGAGAUGAGGAGAAUUUAUCUUUCCCCUAAGAUUGUGGGUCUUUAGAACUCUGUUCCUCAAAAAUGACGAGAAUCAGAGCCCGGAAAUGUUUUCAAGGCAGGCAUGGAUAAAUUUGUGAGAAACAAAAGUGUGGCAUGUGAAAUGAGUGGGAAUGUAGAGUAAUCAGAUCAGCCAUGAUCCUAUCGAAUGGGGGAGCAGAUUUGAGGGACCUACUCCUGCUCCUAAUUUGGAUGUUCAUAUUCUAACACACUGUUAUCCUGCGCGAUGAUCAGAGCAUACUAUUAGCACACACACUGCCACUUCUACAAUGUCAUCCUAUGUGUGCCUGCCAACACAAAAUCAAGCUGCUUUCUUUUCCCAACACACUAUUGUCCUGCACAUCUGCUAGUACUAAUUCAGGGCCUAAAAUGUUUCAUCAGGGGAUUCAAAGAUGCAUGCACAAGUGAUUGGCCAGCGUGAUUGGCCAGCAUUAUUGCUGCGCCCACCCUCUCCCUUGCCCUUUUGAAUGGAUCUACAUUGCCCAUGAGAUGCCGCAGUCUCCUACGAUUAGAAGCUGUGAUGUUAAAAGUUCAAAUUCUGUGGUCUGGCUUUCAGAGCUGGUUCUUUGUAGUUCUGCAUUCACAGCCCUACACUGCAUUCCAUUGUAAUGAUCAGCUUCAAUCGCGUGUUUUGAUCCUGUUUCCCCACCCGUCCCGCAAAACCAUGGAUAGCCUGAAAGAAUUAAGAGCAGGAAUUAGCAGUAAGCAUGUGCCGAGAUGUCGUUCUUUGAGGUCGUCACUUAAGUGGACAGUUGCUGUUUACCUCCAGUGCUGAAUGCCACCGCAUGCCCUGUGUUCAGUUACUCUCAGAAUGAAACUUUGAAGAAAUUCGAACCCCCACAAAAAUCCUGUUCAAUUGAUUUUAUUUAAUUAGCCAUCUCCUGUGGCCUUUCCAAUUGCCACUGUUCCGGUGCAACUUCCUCUCCUGACAGAUGUGGGGCUAAGCCAAUGCCAAUUCUCUGCUCCUUCCUGACAAUGCCUCUUUUUCUCUCUCCUCCAUAUGCCACCCUGCCAUCCUCCCAGCCCAUACGUUCCCCUCCAACUGUUAGCAGAAGAUGCACUGUUUCGGUUCAUAAGACUUUUAUGAAGGGCCCAUGGCUGCAAACUCGGUGGUACACCUACAAGAUGUGUGGGACCCAAAUUAAGCUAAGAUCUGAAGUGUCUUAUGACUUUCCAUUACAUCAAAGAUACUAUCAGAAUUGGAUUGUUAUUGUUUUAGAUAGUGUAUUCCAGAUCAUGACAACUUGGAUAAAAAUAUACUCCCCACCACCCUUUAGUUCUAUUGGUAAGUAGCUUACUUCUGUGGCCCUCUGGUUACAAGGCCUGCUGAUACUGAAAGCAAUUUCUCCUUACUCAUAAAUCUCCAUAAUUUUGAUCCUCUUUAAUCAUAGAUCACUUUGAUCUUUUCUACUCUGAGGAGAUCAAAUGCAUUAUCUCUGGGCUCACCGCAUGACAGAAGUCUUUCAUCCUUUCUACCCUCCUCUGCUCUCUCUUGAAGGACUUGUCAUCAGUCUGAAAGUAUGGUGCCAAGAAUUGGCCACCACAUCAGAACUGGGACCUAAACAUUGCUUUAAAAGUUGUCAGGAUAGUUUACUUGCAUAGUUCGUGUCUAUAUUUAUAAAGUCAAGAAUCCCAUAUGUCUUGUUAACAUUCUUCUCAACUUAUGUUGCCUCUUCAAAGUCCUUUGCUGUUCUUGUGCCCACACUCUACCCUGAAGAUUGAACCUUUUAGUUUGCAUCCUUC